GUGGGCCUGACUCCUCCCUCCGGCGGCGACGCUUCCCUCAGCUGCCGCUGCGGCGGGCGGGCUGAGCCAGCCCAGACGGACCUGGCUGCGGCCCCGGCUCGGAGCCUCCCUGCGGGCGGGCGGGCUGGGACAUGACUCUGGGCGCUCCUCGGCCCCCGGCUCCGCGCGGCAGAGGCAGCCAGCGGGAAGUUUGCCCGGGUGCAGCGGCGGCCGGGCUCCCGGCAGCGGCGCGCUCCCCCCAUGCACGCACACAGCCCCCGGCUCCGCAGCGGUGCCCAGGAGGCGCCCCGCACCCGCCCCGCUAUGGACACUAGCUGGGGCCGGCAGAGCAGCCCGGAGCUGGGCAGGGGCAAGCGGCUGAGCGUCGGGGAGCUACGCUUGUUCUUCGAGGCUCACUGCGCCGCGGCCGCGGCCGCCGCCGCACGGGAGCUGCCGGACCUGGCCAAGAGGAGCUGCCGUCCCCGCAACGGGCUGCUGCCGCCGGUCAUCCCGCAGCUGACCGUCACCCCCGAGGAGAGCGAGGAGGCGCAGGGCAGCCCCAAAGGGCCCCCGGCGGACCCGGAGAGCGGCUGGCUGAGGACGGGCAGCUCACUGCACCUGCUGCAGUCCCGCCGGCUCUCCAACUCCUCGCUGUCCUCCACGGGCUCCUCGUCCGUCUUCGAGGACUCCGAGGACGACCUGCUGAGCGACACGGAGGGUAGGAGCCAGGGCAUCGUGCAACUGGAGCACGGGGAGGACACCAACCAGAAAAAAUCAUGGCAUACAAUUAAAACGAUAGUCAACUUACCAGUCAUCAGCCCCUUCAAGAAGCGCUAUUCAUGGGUGCAGCUGGCUGGGCACACAGGGAGUUUCAAGGCAGCUGACAGCGGUACGAUUCUGAAGCGCUUUUCUGACAAUGAAAAGGAGUGCUUUGAGCUGCUGAUGAAAGAUCCCCUGCGCUCCUGUGUCCCUGCCUUCCAUGGGGUGGUAGAGAGAGAUGGCGAGAAAUACAUUCAACUGGAUGACUUGCUCACUGACUUUGAAGGGCCUUGUGUCAUGGACUGUAAGAUGGGGAUCAGGACAUACCUGGAGGAGGAGCUGACUAAAGCCCGUGAGAAGCCAAAGCUGCGUAAGGACAUGUACAAGAAGAUGAUUGAGGUGGAUCCUCUUGCGCCCACAGCUGAGGAGAACACGCAGCAUGCUGUGACCAAGCCACGUUACAUGCAGUGGAGAGAGACCAUCAGCUCCAGUGCCAAUUUGGGCUUCAGGAUAGAAGGGAUUAAGAGGGUUGAUGGGACUUGUAACACAAACUUCAAAACAACUAAGACACGGGAGCAAGUUUUCCAGGUUUUUAUGGAAUUCAUUGAGGGCAACACAACUAUUCUGAAAAAAUACCUCAAGCGUCUGCAUGAUAUCCGCCUCAUCCUCGAGUCCUCAGACUUCUUUAAACGACAUGAGGUCAUUGGAAGUUCACUACUCUUUGUGCAUGAUGACAGCGGACAUGCCAAUGUAUGGCUGAUUGAUUUUGGAAAGACCACACUUCUCUCUGAUGGGCAGACCUUGGACCACAGGAUCCCCUGGCAAGAAGGCAACCGGGAGGAUGGGUACCUGCUGGGAUUGGACAAUUUGAUUAGUAUCUUAGACAGCAUCACUGAAAGAUGAGAAGAGACUCUCACAAACUCAUGGGGCUGCUUUGUAACCUUCUACUCUACUGGGAUCUCUCCAUUAGAGGUAAAACUCCUUUAACUCUCUCCAAACUCCUGGGGUUAUUGCAGUGCAAAUGGUGCUGCUUUCAGACCCAGACCGUUCAUGCUGAAAGUGACUGCAUUGGCCUUCCAGGAACCAGAGUGAUUCAGGAUUGGUUGUUAGUGAACCAAAUUAACUUUGGAUUGGUCCUCCGUGAAUCAGGGUCUCCAAACUCAGGAACCAAACCAGCAUGAAUCCAGGAGAUUUGUACAGUAAAUCAGAAUGACUCUGAUUUCAGGUGAACCAAAGUGACUCUAGAUUACCUGUUAGUGAACCAGAGUAAAUGGCAGACUGCUUGAGAUUAUGGGGAGGGUUGAGCAGAAUUCUCCACUAGAUGGCAUUGCUUUGAAAACAGCAGGAGUGUUUGCUCCCUAACCCCAAGUCACUAGGCUGCCAUUUAUGUUAUAGAUUAGGCAAGGCCCGCCCCAGCUGCUGUAUUACAUUACAAGAGUGUGCAAGAUGGGAACUCCUCCAGGAAUGAGUUCCAGAAAACAUGGGGAGAAGGGUGAUUAUAUUCAUGGCAGGGUUGGUUUAGUGUCUGCAAGGGAUAGCUGCUGUUGACCUUUUCUCUUACUCCCUGCCCUGGCCUAUCCUCUUUUCUAUCUAAGAACAUUCUUAACUAUUUCCAGGUAGUUCCUAAUGAGGUCACAGAGAGCCCAUUAAGUAAAUAGCACCAGGUUGUCUCUGGCACUGUGUGACUUUCAAACUGUGUAUGAUAUUGGAGAGGCUGGUAAAGUGGUAAUGCUGGCUCUGGCAGCUGGACAGCAUUUGUGAAGGUCAAUGGCAUCUCUCUUUAGCAGGUGGGUUGGGGGGCAAAGUUAAUUUUUCAAGGGCUUAGUUAUUUUAGAGAAAAAAACAAGUCCAUCUAAAUAUUAGCAAGCCAGUUAUCAACAUACCAUUUUACACCAAGGCUUAGACUCUCCAUCUUUUUGCUUGUGGGUCAGAUUUCCUGGUGAUGCCAUGUUCAUUCUUUUGCCACACUGAACGUGUCAGGGCAUAAGCUGAGUGGAUCAGAAAUAAUUGUAUCCCCAUAAACAUCAUUACACUGUUGGCUAUAUCUGUUACGGGCAUUCUUCCUUGGAAGCAUGAGGUAUUCACCACUUUUGAAAGCAAGGUAUUAUAUUACUAGACUAGAGGUCUGAUUGCUGUGCCAUAUACCCUGAUUGGGGCCUCUAGGUGCUACCACAAUACAAAUUAACAUUUCUUGCUCAUCCCAUAUCCAGAUAUCUGACAGUGCAGUUUCCAAGUUGGAGCCAUCUGCCAUGUAACAAGACCAUAGAGUCAUUAAGAUUACUUUCUUUUAGAAGCUAAAAGUUUUUUAAGCAACACCAGUUGAUCAGAAAUCACUCUCUUUUGCCAAUACAACUGUAGUCAAAGAAACUUCAGAAAUUUUGGAAUAACUGAAAGUAGUUCCUUGCUUCUGUCGGGAAUCACUACACCAAUGAUCACUGCAAAAUGAGGUAAAUGAGACUGUACAAUUCUUGUUUGGAGCUAAAUGUACAUGACAUAAUGGUUGUAUUAAGGGUUGAGGAGCCUAGGAUAACUUCUAAAGGAAGCCACUUUGGUUCAUUUACUGGAAUGAAGUUGGAGCCCAGUCAAGCUUAAUAACCUCAGUUAUUUUUCAUCUACAUUAAAGAAAGCAUUGAUGUUAAUAGUGCUGACCAUGCCAACUAGAAGAUCAGUUAUACAACGUACCACUGGGGAAACAAUUGAAAUAGAGCAGUGCGAAUAUUUUACACCAAAACUGAAAUUGCUCAAAAUCUGAAAUUUGUUUUUAUAUUUAGUUGAAAAUUCAAAACUUUCCCUAUGUUUGUGAAUCUUUUAGGGUUUAUAUUCAGUGAAAAUGGUCCUGUUUUUGAGCUGAAAAAGAUACAAGUUCGCUUGAAAUAGGACAUGACUUACAGAAAAUGUAGGCCCCUUUUCAAGUGAAUGCAGUCUUUUUGGUAGAAAGCAUGCAUGGUUUUAUUCCAAAUGUCCCUAGGUUGUGAAAUAUUUUAAGAUGGCAAAAUGACCUGCAGUGAAAUUUGCCAAAAAUAUGGUGAAAAAGUUUUCCUACUUUCCCAUAGCCCUAAUAAAAACAACCCUGCUUGCAGUGAUUCAAGAGAACAGGUUAAAAUAGACUAGGAAACACAAAUUGUUCUUUACAGUUUUGAAUCUGAGUUCUUACAGGGGAUAAUUGGAUGAGAAAACCCCUGGUCUUCAUUAUGUGAUUACUACUUCAGGCAGUCCUGUCAGGGACAAAAAUAAUAAAAUCACAGAAGUUAGAGAUGGUCAUGCAGCAAUUCUCCCUGCAAGUGCAAAAUUAUUACUUAAGGUUCAUUUAAUAACACUUUGUCCUGUCUAGUUUUAAUUGGCAGUGAGAGUUAAAUUUCUUUCUUUCGUGAAUACAUAUGCCAGCAUUUUACACCUAUGCAACCUCAUGCUCUAGGGAAAAAUUGGUGAUGAAUUUCCUUUGAGCAGAAUUUAGAAACCAAGAUCUAUCUAGGACUCAUGUUAAAUCCGUUUAGUUCUACAAUUCCAAAUGGAAGUUGGAGGCAACAUGGAAGCAAUAGCUCCAAAAACAGCAGUGCUGUCAUUUGAAAAGAUAUUUUGCAGUAGACAAUCUCAGGGGAAAGUGCUCUGUCAUGGAAAGGGAUCCAUUCCUGUGCACUUGUUGGAAAGGACAGCAGAAAGCAAAGCUUUAUGACAAGAGACAUCGAGCUGUGAAACUCUGUCCAUUUCAAAAUGACAAUUGUAGCAAAGUUGUUUUGAAGUGGCUUUUUGGCCUAUACCAGAACUAGUUUGGAAGAAGCUACAAUCCAACUCCUAGUUGCUGGUAGACAGCUGUGGAGUCAGUUAUAGGAAAGAAGAAAGGGGAGGGAGUUUUGUACAGCAGUUAGAACAUGGAACUGGGAGCCAGGACUCCUAGACUAUUUCCUAUCUAUGCCACUGACUUGCUUUGUGGUCAUGGGCAAACUUCCUAUGCCUCAGUCUUCCCAUCUGUAAAAUGGGAACAAUAAUACUUACCUACCUCACAGGGAUGUUGUGAGGCUUCAUUAAUUAUUGUUCGUAGGGUGCUUUGAGAUCCUUGGAGGAAAGAUGCAGUAUAGAGAAAUGCAAAGAAAUAGUUAAACUGAAUUAAAAACAACUGAUUUUUGUCCAUCCCUUAAGGAUGCAAGUUCAGAUGAAACUCAGCCCAAGAAGUACAAAUUGAAAUCCCUUUUAUGAUGAUAUACAGAGGGAAGAAGUCACUUUGGGUCUGAUCCAGUUCCUGUUGAAGUAAAUGGAAAGACUUCACUGGGAGUUGGACCAAACCCUUAAACAAUUCAGAGGCCCUUGCUUAUUUUUUGUAUUAUUAUUAUUAUUACUGUUUGUUAUUAUCAAGAUACUGAGAACUAAUGGCCUGUAUCCUCUACAGUGCAUCCUGUUCUGAACACUACAGUGCAAUUAUGACCAAAGUCAUUUUUGACAUUCUGACUGUAUCGUUUGAGUACUUGUUAUUCCAAGAGAAACCCUGCAGGAGAUUAUUUCUCCAAAUGUUUCUGUUGGACUUCUUUGAAGUUCCUGUAAGGCAAUGUUUGGUAGCUGUGCUGAUGGAUGGGUAAAUGUUUUAUAUUGGCUUUGCAGGGCAACAGCACACCACAGCUUGCAUUUUGUUCUCAUUGUUGCUCUUUACAUAUUCUAAGAACCGUGUUUGAUGUAGGAGUUCUAAGAGUGCAUCCCAAUACCCAAGACAUAUUUGAUAUAAUGGGAUUUGAGCCCUGAAGGUUAGAAGAGAAACCAGAACAAAUACUGUCUUAACUGGUCACAUCAUGUGCUGCCAUUUUGAAUUUACUUCCACUCAAACUGAGCUCAGUCUAGAAAAUGUUCCAUCUCUUACAAUGAAAGGUUUCUAGGGAGGAACUGGGAAGUGUGUGACGAAGGAAUCCUAUUGUCUCUCAAGGGAAAGUCUUGUCUGUCAAUGGUUUCCCGCAAUGAAUUAUUUUUAUCAACUUUUGGAAGGGGCAUUGAGUCACCUGUAUCUGCUCCAAUAAUCCUGCUGCCUCUGGAAAGGGUAGGGUGGAAAUAUGGAAAUAGCAUCCUCAGAGAAUCCUGCUAUUUUGGAAUGAGCAUAAGGGGUGGGAGUGGACUCAAUCGCCAGCUCUCUCCCUGAGUUUGCUGCUCUUCCUGUAGACCCUGGUGGCACAUACCACUUUCAGUGUUCCUUGUUUUUACUGGGGAAGCCCAAGGAGUUGCAAAUAGAGGGAAGAGAGCAGUGAAAUUCUGCAUGGUGGGAACCAGUAUAGUUUUGUACUUACAGGCAGGCUACUGUAGUCAUUGGUCAGCUCUUGCCACCACAAAACAGGAGCACAGCCAAACUCCAUUGUAGGUGGGAGCAGCAAUUCAGGGUAUCCUGGUGACUGUCCCCAGUGGACUAGCUGAGGUUGGCUCAAGAUCGUGCCUGUUGCUCCACUCGCUCCUGGAGGCUGGGAUCCUGGCCAUCUUUAAGUUACGCACUGAGAAGACACUCAUGGACGAUGAGGGAGGCGAUCCUGCCCUGCUCAGGGCCAAGGAGCCCAGGGCCAGAUUUUAAAAAGAAUGUAGGCACCUGAAGAUGUAGCUAGGCAUCCAGUGGGACUUCCAAAAGCACACAGGUACCUGAAUCCCAUUGGUCUUAGGCAUCCUACCUGCCUAUCUUUGUCUUUAGGUGCUUAGGUAUCUUUACAAAUCUGCCCCCAAGUCACGUGGAAUACAAAGGCCCAUUUGAACUAGAUCCCUCUGCCUAUCAGAGACAGACUGGAUCUAUCCCUAAUACCACACCAAACUUGAUGGCUUCUGCAGGGAUAUAGGUACUGGCCCAUGAAAAUCUCUGGUUCAGUGUCCUAAAACCCAAUGAUUCAUAGCAGUUGAGCUGAUCUCUCCACACUCAGAGCAGCUGAUAACUCCAGCAGGGAACCCAUACUAGGUGCUACCAGAGGAAGAGCAGUGCUCUGUCCUUUGAACCAUCUGGCUCCUGGACUGGCAAUUUUUCAGAGACCUAGUUCUCUCCCCUCUAUCCAGAUGGUGUUAACUUUAACAUAGAGGAGACCAAAUAGACACUGUUAGCAUCUCUUUAUUUUUGUAUUGUAAAUAUAGAAGUAUACAUUUAUCUGGCUUGAUAUUGCAUAGAAGCAAAAUUGGUAUCUACUUAUUUUACAGUGAUCCAAAGGUAGGACAGUGCAGUGUUACCAUAAGCAGUGGUAUCAACAAAUCAAAAGCAAUUCAGUUAAAUAAAGAAGUGGGACAAGGCUCUAGGGUCUCAAUGGGUAUGUCCACAGUGCAAUUAAACAGACUGGCCUGGGUUGGCUGCAGGGCUGUAAAAUGGCAGUGUAGAUGUUUAGGCCUUGGGCUGGAGACCCACCCACCCUGUGAGGUCCCAGAGCUCUGGCUCCAGCCUGAGCAUCUAUACUGCAAUUUUACAGCUCCAGAGACUGACCCCAAAUCAGCUGAUUCAGGCCAACCGUGGGCAUUUAAUUGCAGUGUAGAGACACCCAAUGGUAUUGUCCCUCAUAAGCAUGGGAUUUGUUUUUUUUUCUAAAGUAGGGUAGGAAGGGUAAACUGGCUGGGAUGACAGAGGAAGGCCAGGUUUACAUGGCAAACCCUUGCUAGUAUACCUAUGGCAGUCAGGGCUGUGAUUGACAUAGCUUUGCUGGCAAAAAUGCUUAGUGUAGAAGCAGUUCUACUGAUAUAUCUGCCUUUUUGGCAGUAUAGUGUAUUUUGGAUGCAUCCCUGUGUGUGAGAGAGAAGCUACAAUGGCAAAAGCUGCAUCCAUACAAGGAGUGCACUCCUAGAAUAGUAUAGGUAUACCAGCAAAGCGCUCCUACUGUAGACCUGGCCCAAGAUGGAGGACCAGAGAGAAUGGAACCAACCUUAGGAAAGAGUUGUGAUAGCAGGGCUGGGAAGGGCAUUUUCAGUCAAUGGUAUUUUAAACUGUGCCUAUUUACUUUAAAGCUUAUUUAAAAGGGGGUUGCAGAAGAAGAUACAAACUAGCUGGGGCAGAAGUGUAGAGACUUGAGGAAAGUGGAUAUAAUGGGUGUUGUGAGAGUGAAGCCGAGACAGGCAGAAAGGCAAUUCCAAAAAGAAAGACCAGUUAGACUCCUGAUUAAUUUGGUUUCUCUGUGUUACAGUUUCCUCUCUAAACUGUAACAUAAGGAGGUUGUAAAAAGCAACAUAAAUCAUCAAUCAAAGCAAAUAGGUGUAAGAUUAAAACCUCAUGAGCAAAAAAGCAGGUCCUGAUUUCAAGACAGUAUUAAACGCUGGCAGCGUGAAGCCAUUUUAAUCACGCAAAGCUAAAUGCAAAGAUUAAAAGACCCAUCAAGCUGAGCAGGGUUUUUAUACAACAUUGCCAUGGGUGGCUGAUGCACCAGUGUUUGAAGACUCUGUGGAAGGGUCCCAUUUUCACACACUUCCUCUUCCAGAACCAAAUCCUUAGGGGCAUUAGCUACCAUGCUAAUCUAGCCCGAUGCUGACAACAUUGGUUUGUUCAUUUGCUAUCAACUGAAAGUGUCUUAAAAAAAAUAAAUGCAAUUAAAAAUCUGCUACCCGUAAUCCUCUGAUUUGGGCAUCCUGAGUGUAUGAGUUAUCAUGCUCGAGCUUCUCCCAGCAUGUUAGACCCUCAAGACUAUGGCAUGUGCCAUUGGUAUGGUUAAUUGUGCCUAGAGUAAUAAGAUUUUGGAUUGGACAGACAGCGUCAUGAUAGGGGAAUCAUUAACUGCUCUCCUCUAGUAUAGUCAUACAUAAUAUUAGUGGGUGGGAUUUUCCAAGGCAGCUAAGCGAGUUAGGCCCAUUGAACUUCAAUAGGACUGGUGCUCUUAACUCAGAUGCUUUUGAACUGCCCCCUGCCCCCAUUAUUGUGGGUAACUGUUCCAUCUGUGCAAUUCCAUGUUCUAUCCUCCUGGAAGGCUCCAGCUAGUAUCAACUAUGCACAAGUAAGCAGCUUUUAUCCAAAGUGAAUGGGGGAGAGCUUGGUUCUUUUUCUAGAAGGACUUGAUGUUGUUACAUUUAGACAUUGGCACCUAGAUGCUGUGGUGAGGGGGGCCUGAGAAGCACUGAUGGUGAUAGUGUCCCAUUCCUAGCCUUAGCCCACCUCACUUCCUAACCUGUUUUUAAUCGCUGUUUCGCUUUCAGAAUUUGGGAAUCAAUGGAGUGUAUCCUAAGAGGAAAUGGCACUGGUGUGAGCUAGCCACAGUGCACGUUGGCACUCCACAGCAUUCUUAGCUCAUUUCUGAUCCCCGCUGUCACAUCAUUAAGAGUCAUUAAUUUUGGAGGAUUGUAGGGUGGAGGUAGAACGUGUGUAUGUCUCCUGUAGUCAUCUCCCUGCAGAAUGAAGCAGAACUGUCUAGUCCAUAGUCAGUUUUGCAGUCUAGUGCAUAGUCAGUUUGGUACUAGGAAAAGGUCUAGCAAGGGAAGACAGUAUCUUACUACUCACCCCCUGGCUCUGUUUUCUACACAUCACCUUCUCCCUGAUAUGUACCACCAAUCCCCCCAGAAUAAUGAAGGUCAGUGACAUCUGAAAGUGGUUAGGCAUCACUGGCACAUGAAAGUGUGAUCAGAACCAGCAAGUAAAGAUCUUCAUGUAUCUGAAUCACACCAGCGUGGGCAAUGCCUUCCAUGAGUAACCUCCACUGCAGCUGACUUAAAGCUUAAGAAACUGCACUGCAAUAGGUCUGGACCUCUCCCAAUUGUGAGAAACAUGCAGCAGCAGUAAAGAGCAAGUCAUUACUGUGAGUGCCAACAGUUUUUAAGAGCUUUUGAUAGUGUAUCUCUGGGGAAACAGCGAGUCAUGAGUGAGCCAUGGGAGUAAGAGUGUCACCUGAAAUGGGAUGGAGUUGAAUGCAGUGCAGAGGCAUGCUACUGAGCAGAGGUGGGAUGGGGGAAUCAAGGCUUGUAGGUUCAGGUCAGUUGUGACAGUAGUUGCUCCUCAUUGGCAUACACCAGAGCUGACCAUGCAGAGCUAGAAGGGAGAAAACAUGCUUAGCCUCUGGGAGGAGGAAGAAUUGCUCACCAGUGCCUCUGCUAGUCGGUUAAGGAUCUGCACUGAGGAGAUCCAAGGAUAGACACUGUCCUUUGUUCCCUACCUGGAAGGGUGGUAGCCAGGAAGCAGGGUCUCAGAGCUGGGAGUGGAAGGUGGAUAAAUGAUGGGGUGCGCAGAGCUCUGAGAGAAAGACCACAGCAGAAAGGGGCAAGGGAGGAAAAAGUUCCACUUAGAAGCAAUAAUAGUUCUUAAAUCAUUUCAUUUCUACCCCAUCCCUCCUGGAACAAUCCCACACACCUGGGAGCUACCUGUAUCCUUGCAUCCAUUUACCUCACACCAGGGAUCAAAACAAGGUAUUAUUUUUGGCCAUCAAGAUCUAUAAUUCCAUUACAUGGAUUUGGUUUUCUCAGUGCAAGCUCCAUUGGUAAAAGUGGACCUAUCACCACCAAAGGGGCUGAGAACUGAUGGUGUUUGAAACUAUCCAUUCUAUAGCCAGUGGUCCUGGAAACUAGAGGAAGUUAUGGGACAAACUGUAAGUCACUGACUGACCUUAACCCUGAGUUGGAGACACCCAGCACUUGUUGCUGGUGUGAAACAGAAUGCAACCACGUCAGCUGUGUGCUUCUCCGCAUGACACAUGAAUUGUUGCUGCAGAGGAAAUGGAAUCUGUGCUAUAGUUAACCAUCUCUUUCGAGGAGACUGCUUGUUAUGCCAAAUUGUGUACACAGACUAUAUGCCUAUGUGGGGUGUGAAGUGAUCCUGACCACUAUGAAUGCAGCAGCCACUCUUCACUCAGGAAACAUAGGUGAGGUGUAAGGUAGAGAUCUUGGUGUAUUCACACUUUGGUUUCCUGCCUGAAGGGAACAGCUACUUUAUGAAACUUAUGUGUAUCCUUGGGGCUCUCCUUUCACACUAAACAUAAAGAUGGUGAUUGAAGGAGCUGCACUUCUGAUAGACUCUACAGAUCAAUAAAGUUUCGCAGCACUCUUUCCAUCCUCCCUCCACACAGCUAACCCUCCCCUGUUACCUGAACGUUGGCAGCCGGGAAUUCAGAAAUGGCACAAGGGCAAAGCGCUUCUGAGAUGUUUUUGGGCAUAUAAUGAGUGCUGUCUUUACCUUUUCAGUCUCUUUGUUUGGAAGGCUCUAACCAGUAAGUAUCAGGUUAACUGCAAACUACAGUAGGAAGCCUUUUAAAUAACUCUUUUUCCAGAACAGGGACCUGCCUUCUUAACUGACAGGGCUGUACUAUUAAGAGGUCCAGAAGAAACCAUAUUCUGCUGUAAGCAUUCCCCAAAAGGAGAGACUGGUGCAUAAAACCAAGCUGUUGUUUGGACUUCCAAGGGGGCUGAAGUAUCCAAUCCUGCUUUAUGAAGAGGCAUUUUAAGAAUUAUAUUCAAAUAAAACACUUCUUCGUGGUUUCCCUUCAAGAUGCCCUCCUUGUCUCAGUGAAGUCCACUUCAGAGGAGUUUCUAUAUUAUGUAUUUAAAAUAAACAACAUCAAGAACCCAGCAUUCUACAGUAAUGGCCCUAAAUCUUCAGUUUAUAGCCAUGGGCUAUUACUGCUUAAUACUAGAGUCUUUUUAAAAAUAAAGUUCAUCCCAGGUAAAGUUCAUUUAAAGAAAGGAAAAGUCCAGUUCUCACAAUGUAGUGUAGUUGGACAUUGAUUAGAACUUUUCCCAAACCUCCAAGGUCAGGAACUGUGAGGUAAGUUAGCCCCUGAGGUAAGAAGCAAGUUUUCUUUACCAGUCAAAGGGAUGCAAUCAACUCAAUUAAUUAUUAUUUUUUUUAAAUAUGUAAUUUGUUUUCUCUUCAUGCUUUUUAAAACAUAAUCUCGGAGUAGCCUGAAAUAAUAUUUUCCCCUCCCACUUCUUCUGUUUUUCUCAGUUGCCGCAUUGAUUUUAAUUUAAUGUUCUUCUGGUGUUUCUGCCGAUCAAGCAAGUGCAAACGUGGCUGUAUUUGGUUACUUCCCUGUCAGUGCACCAGCAUCACUGGAACAUGCAAAGCUCUGGGGAACACAAUGGCCUUUAUGAGUUUGCUGCUACUGCUGCUGCCACAGCACAUGAUUUUUGGUAUGUUAGAUCAAAAGGGUUGUUAUGUUGUUUGUCAUUUCCAGCCAACUGUAACAAUUGGAUGGUAGGUUCUUUAUUUAUUUAUUUUUUUUUCACCUGAGCAGAUUGAGAAUGAUUCCUUUCAUGAACCACUGGACUCUGAGUCAGUGCAACAAUGCCAUUGUUAUUUAUAUCCUGAAAUCAGUGGCACUGGCUCAAUAGGAGGGAACACUCUUGAUGGACUGAAGUAGCAAGUUCAAUUUUCCUCAUUAGACUGGGAAUUCAGUGUGUCGGAGGGUGCAGCAGAACACUUCUGGUGUUAAAACAUUACCCAUCUGAAAGUUGAAUGGAGGAAAUAAGAGAUCAAAGAAGACGUUUCAGCUAGAUACAUACACGCCCAGUUUGAGGUCCUGACCUUUGGAAGAACAUCUCCUGUUAUACAGGUGUAACACUCAGGUCGUCUGACAAGGAGAGGCCAGAGUCCCUCUCUCUUGAUGUUUUCUCUGGCUUACAAAAAGGCUUCCUAUCCCUGUGCAGACUGGUGCUCCUCAGCACACCUGCUCUACCCAUUGCCAAAGCUGAAGGCCGAUCAGUGACAUAGUAGAGGUCAUCAUAUGCAUAAUUCACAUUGCCGCAGGGGAAAGUCUGGAGCUUCACCAGUUCUAUCUCACCAAUAUUCCUGUGAGGACAGUGGCUUCUGUUUGGAGAGGCUGGAGAUGCCCGAGAACUAGGGGAGGAGCUGCAGUUCCCAUCAAAACCUGAAUCUUCUCGCUCUGUGGUUGCUUUGAGCUUGGCAUUGGGACAGGAGCGGCAGAUAUUCUCCAUCACCCAGGAUCCAUAGGUUGGGUUCCAAAGGUUUCUGGUGUUGUGUUGUCUGUGUGCUGGCUGACUGCUUGAUUCCAACCUCUGGUUUGCGGUCUGUUGGAACCAUGACCUGCUGCUGGAAUCAGUGAGGCACGGUAGGCUGGGACCUCUGUCAGUCCAAUUGCCAAGGUUCUCCACCAGCAACUCCUGUGGACGUUGUCCAGCUUUAUGCCCAGCAUGAUGGGUUUCUAAUGUUAUGGGAGUCAGCUGAGGUGUGAGGGAUUGGUUCACCAGGAAAGGGACCAUUCCACUGGAACUAUUUGGGCACAUCACAGAGCUCCCCUCAUCCUCUGAUGCUGGUCCACAUUCAAUGGGCAGCUCUGUGUUGAUCACAUCAGGAUCCUGAAACAGAAAGGAUUCAGUAAUCACAUUUUACAUUCUGAACAUGCCCAGUUGUGACUUUUCCACAUACUUUUUCAGGGAAGUGUUCAGAAAAGUGAGAUAAUGUUAGCAGUGGUUAGCGCCAGCUGUGUGUAAUGCAGCCAUGCAUUGUGCAAGCUGCCAUGCAACAUUUUGAUUGUGCACCUUGCUUAUUAUUUGCUAAAACUUUUAUUUCAUUUUAGGGUUUCUUUUGAACACAGGUUGCCAUUUUGUGAUGCCUUAUUGAUAUUAAUGACUAGGCAGAGAUCACCAACAUCUAAUAAUUUCCUCUUGCGUCUUAAACUAUGCUUGGAUCCAGGUCUCCAGCAGCAAAAGGCUAGCAGCUUAUCAACCCCUCAUGCCCUCUCAUCCCCUUCUUCCAUACCAGUUCAGCUGUGGCUUUCACGGAAGUCUGGAAAAAAAACUUGAAGAGUGAAGUAAGGGCCUGAGAAGUUGUCUGGAAACCUUUCCAUCAAAAAUCAAACACUCUUCACUACUGAAUGAGCUGAGAGGUGGAAGCAGACCCUUUUCACAGGAAGGGAUUAUAUGCAUGCUGGUGGGGUGGAAGUAGGUGAGAUGAGAGAUGUACAGAAGCACAAAUGAAAAUACUAGCUGAAGUACAGGCCAAGCACAAAGGGAAUUGAGAAAGUAAUUAGCCAAUCAGAGCAAUCCAUUCCCUCUGUUUUGGGUGAUAAUGUUUGUAUCAUAGGAUGAUCUGGAUGCCAUAAACAAGUCAAAACUUAAAUCCUAAAGGCCAGUACCUGUGUGCAGUACUUGAUUCUUUCCAGAAUGGUGCAGAAAUUGGGCCGGUACUCCGGACUGUGCUGCCAACAUUGCGUCAUGAUCCGGUAACUUGACAUAAAUACAUAUUUGUGCCAAUUAAUAAUGAUAAAUCAAAACCACAAAUCAAUAUGGAUUCAUUUUUCAGGUCUGUCUCUGGGCCCAGUUUUCAGGUCCAGAAGAACUGCACUCAGCACAGUACCCAAGGGGCAGUGCAAACUUGGCCUUGUGUCAUUUUCAUGUUCCCUGAUCCUGGGGCCAUGGGAGGUGGGUGAGGGGAGGGAAGGUGCAAUUACUCAGUGCUGCUCUAAUUUGUGCCCAGCUGUCAAUAGUUCCAAGGGGAUUUUCUGGCAAAUGGGGAAUUUCUGGAGAGUACCUGUGCAUGCUUCAGUCAUGCUCUCUGGCCGCACACCUGAUAUGCUUCCUAAGGCAGGUGAGUAUUCACCACAUUGAGGAAAUCUGCUGGUAGUUGGUGGCAAAGAGGGCCUGUACAAGAUCCCAGAACUGGAGUCUGUAUUUUUAAUUGUAUGGAAGUUUAUUGGUGAUGAAAGUUGACAGGUUACCAGCCCUAGACAUUGAAGUCGUCGUUUUAUUCACAGAAUGGGUAUAACAUGGAAAUAGCAACUUAACCUUCCUUGCUUUGCCCUGCUUAUGUGCCUCAAUCAGGUUUUGGAAGGACCCCCUGGUAUGAGGACUUUGGGCAACUUUGACAUGUUUAAAGCUUUAUCUGUGAGAAGACCUCAGUUCCUGAUGACCAGCUGACGUCUCUACAUGUGCAUUGGACUCCCUAACACACACCCCUCCCCCCCCACCGGCUUGCGGAGAGUUCUUGGUUUCAUUCAAAAAGGCAACAAUACCAUUUCCUAUUACAUGUGGUGACCUUGGAGAUGGAGGCCUUGGGAGUCUACAGAACUGCCAUGUUUGGUGGAAUGUGUAACUGAAGUAUAACUGAGAGCAUACCAAGCUCUGCAGUCCUUUGGACAAGGAGGUGGUGAGUAGGCAAGACAGUUUCAGUGAGAAGAGGAAGACAGCUACCACCUGUGAUGCUGACAAGUAGUUUUAUGUGGACUUGUAGAUCCUACACACACAUCCAGAUUGUGACCAGAUGUGUGUAUUGCUAGAAGAGUGGUCCUCAGGAAUCUGUUGUGUGACAGUGAUGGGAGAUUCUCAUGAAUUUCUUACAGUGCAAUAUGCCUGACUCUGCUGGCUGGCCAUUCCAAAAAGUGUUGCCCUGGAGCCCCAUGGUCAGACCAUCUGGACAAAACGCUAGACCAUCUUUUGCUUCAGCUGACUUUGCCCUGAUGUGUGGCCCUUGUAACACCAACAUCUAAACCUCAAGUUACCCACAGACAUCAUCUGUGAAUGUCCUCUCAGAUGCUAGGAGGGUGUUUAUCAGCUUCUCAGAAUGAGUGAUUAUAGAUCUUUCCUCUCAGUUUCCCAGCUGAUGGGCUAGGCAGGUUUGGAUAUUGGUUCAGGAUAGGUCACUCUUGAACUAUGUUUUGUGUAUUUGUUGGGAGUUUGAGAGAAGGUUUGAGCUACAUCUGAAUCAGGUCUGAGAACCAAGACCUGAGGGUUUAUAAGAAGAGGUUUAUAAUCACUGUGGCCUGUUCCUUCACAAUCUUCACCUUCAGUGGCUGAGGAAGGAAAGGUAUAAAGUAGGCUUUUUAGUCCACUUCUGAGAUAAGAGGUGUGACGUUACACCCCCUAUUCUUCAUGGAAAUAUGGUUAUGAUAUGAAUAUGGUAUAACUAAGAUAUAAUUUAUGCAAGAUGGCUCAUGUGAGGUAUCAUUGGAAAGGUUAUGAUUUACUGAAUGUGUUUAUCCAAUUUGUAUGCCUGUAUCAUUUUUGUAUUUGAAGCUGGGAAUAUUGACCAUGUUUCUGUAUUUCAAAUGUGCUACGGUGGAUGAGGCUAAACAAUGUUAGUGGCUUAUUAAAGAAAUGUACACAUG